rnacentral:ncRNA from 1 species
ACCAUCCUUCUCUUGGGGUAGCGCUACUGUCCAAUGAAUGAGUAGUGAGGGCAGUACUGCUAACGCCUACACAACACGCCCGCAUCAAAAAUAAAUAAAUUAAAAA